rnacentral:misc_RNA from 1 species
GAAAUGCGAUAAGUAGUGUGAAUUGCAGACUUUAGUGAAUCAUCGAAUCUUUGAACGCACAUUGCGCCCCUUGGUAUUCCACUGGGCAUGCCUGUUCGAGCGUCAUUUGACCCCUCAAGCCCCGCUUGGUGUUGGGCGUUUUGUCCUGCGCGUCCGCGCGGACUCGCCUCAAAGGCAUUGGCAGCGGCUCCGUCGGCCCCUUUGCGCAGCACAUUGCGCUCCGGGAGGCUCCUGCGGGCUCGCGUCCACAAGACCACCACCUUUGACCUCGAAUCAGGUAGGGAUACCCGCUGAACUUAA